rnacentral:lncRNA from 1 species
CCCUUUUCUUUCUUUUUUUCCUUUUCAAUUUUCUGCAUUAACAAUUAAAGCAUUGAAUACCAAUUACUAAAAAUUAAUUAAAAAAUAAAUAAAAACACAGUUAACACCGUAUUUUAAGUACUAUUAUAUUUUUUUUCCUUUCCCUUUCCUGAAUUUUAGGUUCAGACUUGAAGUUUUGAAUGUCAAUUAAAAAAUUAAAUCAAAAUUAAAACAAGGGUUGUUGGCAUGCUCAUUCUUCUGGCUAUCUUUUUUCAUUUACGGAUCCGCCAUUGGUGAAGUACUGAAACAUGGGAUGAUUCUUACAUCUCAAAUUUUUUUAUGUCUUGCUCGGCAAUGAAAUGCCAAGAUUAAUCUUGGAAAAUGAAAGAAGCAACAAUCAUGAGAUUCGAAAUCGCUAAAUGGCGCCUGGAGGACGGUGGAUCUUGCGAGGGCAAAUUUGUUGUCCUGGUUCAGAAACGGCAGUGCAACACAGAAGCUAGGAGGAGGUUGGGACUGAGGAGCGAUGAAUGAAAGAAGAAGGAAAGGGUAUUUACUAUUUAGUAACAUAAAUAUACCAUAUAUUAAUACUACUAGUAUUAAAUACUGCAUUCUUUUUUCUUUUGAAAAAACAAACAAAAAUAGUGAAACCGGUUUCACUUACAAGUGGCAGUAAAAAGCAACUUUCCUAUGGUGGGAAAGUCUUCCUCCUACCCACCCUAAAUGCCACCGUGUAUGAGGUGUGUGUUCACAUGGGAAAGGUUAAUCCUUUCCCACCAUGGGAAAGUUGAAUUCAAUGAUUAGAUUAAGUGAAGAACAUAUUCUUAACAUGAUCUCUCAACACUAGAUUUUUCUUCACACUAUCUUCCAAC